UACGGGAGGCAGCAGUGGGGAAUAUUGCACAAUGGGCGAAAGCCUGAUGCAGCUAUGCCGCGUGUAUGAAGAAGGCCUUAGGGUUGUAAAGUACUUUCAUCGGGGAGGAAAAACAAAACUAAUAAUUUUAUUUCUUGACGUUACCCGAAAAAGAAGCACCGGCUAACUCCGUGCCAGCAGCCGCGGUAAUACGGAGGGUGCUAGCGUUAAUCAGAAUUACUGGGCGUAAAGAGCACGUAGGUGGUUUUUUAAGUCAGAUGUGAAAUCCCUGGGCUUAACCUAGGAACUGCAUUUUGAAACUGAAAUACUAGAGUAUCGUAGAGGGAGGUAGAAUUCUAGGUGUAGCGGUGAAAUGCGUAGAUAUCUGGAGGAAUACCUGUGGCGAAAAGCGGCCUCCUAAAAUGAAAUACUGACACUGAGGUGACGAAAGCGUGGGGAGCAAAACGAGGAUUAGAUACC
rnacentral:rRNA from 1 species